rnacentral:rRNA from 1 species
CUACGGGGUGCACUAGUGGGGAAUAUUGGACAAUGGGCGCAAGCCUGAUCCAGCCAUGCCGCGUGAGUGAAGAAGGCCUUAGGGUCGUAAAGCUCUUUCGCCAGAGAUGAUAAUGACAGUAUCUGGUAAAGAAACCCCGGCUAACUCCGUGCCAGCAGCCGCGGUAAUACGGAGGGGGUUAGCGUUGUUCGGAAUUACUGGGCGUAAAGCGCGCGUAGGCGGAUUAGUCAGUCAGAGGUGAAAUCCCAGGGCUCAACCCUGGAACUGCCUUUGAUACUGCUAGUCUUGAGUUCGAGAGAGGUGAGUGGAAUUCCGAGUGUAGAGGUGAAAUUCGUAGAUAUUCGGAGGAACACCAGUGGCGAAGGCGGCUCACUGGCUCGAUACUGACGCUGAGGUGCGAAAGUGUGGGGAGCAAACAGGAUUAGAUACCCCCGUAGUC